CAAGAGUGUGAUAAGUAUUUGCGGUGCCAGACCCAUUGAACAAGGCCCACCAGUUUUUGGCUUUGAGUCAGGGGGUAUAGCGCUACCAGGGUGCAAAAAGCAAAAAAAAGGGCCUAUGGGUGAAACAAACCCAAUUGCUCACAAGGGAGAGAGGAGAAAAGCUUCAUUUGAAUUCCAAAACACGCUCAUAUCAAAUUGAAACAUCUAAAACUUCCUGCCUGAGAACACCACCUCCGUCGCGCCGGAAAUCGCCUCUGACGGUGGUGGAGGGCCAAUCCUCAAAAUCCCUACACCGUUCCCUUCGUCUCAGCCUGCUCUAUUCAAAUCCAUCAUCAAUUUCAACUAAUGCAUGCCCUAACUAUCAAACCAAUUCAAUCCAUCAAAGAACCCUAAAUACCAAACUUCAAAUUAAAUCCUAAUACCACAAAAUCAAAGCCCAAUUGGUUGGGGAUUUGAUUCCCCACACUCUAAGAUACAUGUCUGUAACUGAUUCAAAGCGAAAUGGAGAGAAAAGUAGACCUACCUUCCAGAGAAGAUGAAGAUGAUUCCGGGCAUUUGGAAAAAUGGGGAAUUCAACAAAGGUCUUCAAGAUGCUAUUCAUGUGGCUUGUUCUUGAAGUAAGAUGGUGAAGGUAAUCAUCAAAGAUCAAAAGUGGAGCUUUGAAGAUUCACACAAAAAGAUGACUUGUGGGAGAAGUAUGGCAAGAACUAGGGUUUAGGAUAGUCAAAUUUAGUCAGUUGACUUUGGUCAACUGGUUGACCAAAAACUCAAUAGUUGACCAAAAAGUCAAUAGUUGACCAAAAGUAAACUUAGGUAAAAAUGUAUGUUUUUUUUUGUAUGGUUUGAUUUGUAAUGUAAGGAUUUUGUAACGUAAUGCUAGAUUGAUGUUUCUUUUGAAAUGAAAAUGGAUUUUGAUAUGGAAAA